UUGAGAACCUCCUCCUUUUUGGGAAGUCGGUUAAAAAUUAAGCGAUACGUAUUUUUUCUUUUUUAAAUUGGAUCAGAACUUGUUAAGAUAUAGCGUGUUAAAGUUGAGUGUGACGUCACAAGUUGCUACAAUUUUCAGGACACUGUGACGUAAAAGGCCCCCACUCCUAAUUUUUGAAGUGUAUUAUCUUUGUCAUUUUAUGUUUAAUUAAAAAAAGAAAAAAUACGUAUCCAAUAUUUUUUGAUUAUCUAAAAAGCGGACUAAAUAUUAUUUCAUUAUUUCGACCAUGGAAACUACCCUAUUAAGAAAUAAUCAAUGGCGGUAAAAAUAAUUUAAGUAUUGCGUAAAUUCUCAAAGCAACAACUAAUUCAAUUUGUGAUUAUUUUGAUACUUGAAAUUUGAUUUCAUUUGUGAAAUAAGUAGGUGUAAGUAAUAUAAAACUUUUAAAAAUAUAUUUCGGUUUUAUUUUAUUCUAUCGCAUUAUUUCUCUCAAAAAUGUAUUCAUGUAGGCUCAGCCUUACAAAAAAUGGACUGUCAGUUUUGCGAUUGUCCUGUAUUUUCGACGAGGGAUUGCUUAGUUUUUGUUAAUUUUUAAUAUGAAAGGAUACAAAUUGGUUUUGCAUUAAAUAUUGUACGCUGUACAGGUAUAACUGCUGAUUCCGGUAAAUAAGUUUUUUAGUUAAAACCAAGUGUUUAGGCUAUUGUAUAGAUAGACUGUUUAGUAGAUGAUUUAUGUGAAGUUUGGUAAGGUGGGAUAUAGUAGAGUAGAUUAGGAUGGAGUAGGAUAGGGCGGAGUAAGGAAGAACGGGAGUUAAGCCGUACGGAUAAAAGCUAGUUAUGUAUGAAGUUAUGUCAUAAUACAUUGCUACGUUUAUUAAUCAUAAAAAUCAGCACGAUUUAUUUAAAAAUUGUUAAAUACAUUUUAGGUUAUAAGAAGCCACACACUUAUAGGAAGCCACUCACUGGUGCAGAAAAGACUAGGAGAUAUAGAGAAAAGAUGAGAAAGGAAAAUCCUGCCAAGUUUGAGGCACAAAGAAUAAAAAACUUACAAAGAAUGAAACAAAAGAGAAAGAGAAUUUCAGAAAUGACUCCAGAACAGGCUGAGGAGAAAAGAAAAGCUUGGCGAAAUGAAAAACGUAGACAGAAAAAAAGGAUGUUGUAAUAUUAUAUUAUGCAACACCUAUAAUCUCUUUUUUAAUCUUGUUAGAGUCGUGUAGAUUAGGAUGUAGUAAGAUAGGGCGGAGUAAGGAAGAACGGGAAUUAAGCCGUACGGACAAAAGCUUGUUAUGUAUGAAGUUAUGUCAUAAUACAUUGCUACGUUUGUUAAUCAUACAUACAAUUCAGUACUACUUUUUUUUAAAGAUGUUAUUAUUUAAAAAUUAAUAAAUACAUUUUAGGUUAUAAAAUGCCACUCACUGGUGCAGAAAGGGCUAGGAGGUAUAGAGAAAAGUUGAGAAAGGAAAAUCCUGUCAAGUUUGAAGCACAAAGAAUAAAACAUAUACAAAGAAUAAAACGAAAGAGAAAGAAAAUUUCAGAAAUGACUCCAGAACAGGCUGAGAAGAAAAGAAAAGCUUGGCGAAACGAAAAACGUAGACAGAAAAAAAGGAUGUUGUAAUAUUAAAUGCCUUAAACCUUAAUUCAGACCAAUGUUGACUUUUAGUAAUUAUAAAAUGUUGAAUAAAAAAAAGAACUGAUCAUAGAAUAAAACGAUUUUUCUGGUUAUGUUUGUUAAUUUUAUAUGAAUGAAGACAAAAUUAAUGGCUGUAAUAUAAAACAUUUAAAAUAAAUUUGGGUUUUAUUUUAUUCUAUCGCAUUAUUUUUCUCAAAAAUGUAUUAAUGUAAGCCAAGCCUUACGAAAAACGGAUUGUCAGUUUUGCUAUUGUUUAAGGUUAUGGGUAUAAAUUGUAUCAUUUCAAUAUUUAAAAUAGCAAUGUAUAUUAUCUAGUGUUUCCAUGAAAACUACUUUAAGCCAUUACAAUAUCGAAAAAUAACGCUUCCUAAAUUCUGUCAUGAUUGAAUUCGGUCAUGAUACAUUUUAUUUUGAAAACGCUCAACUAAACCGAUGUUUUUUUUUUCAGAGAUCCCCUAUAAAAUAGUAAAAUCACAGAGAGGUGUAAAACGAAACAAACCCCCAGUACCACGAAACCGAGAAUACUCCCUGGUUCUUUCUGAAAGAGGCAGAGAUAUUCUUCUACGUUCAGACUUCAAGUAUCACAAACAUAGAAUGAAAAAGGAUGGAACAGUGGUAUGGCGAUGCUCGCAAAGACACACGUGUACGGCCCUUUUAAUGACGAAUUCAAAUAUAAUUGUAGAGGAAUAUCGUCACACAUGCAUCCACAGGAUAAAUGAAAAAUAACAUUUAGUUAGUAAAAAUAUAAAAAAUGCUUUGAUACUAACUUAACUUACUUUGCCCCUCACUAACUCUCUCGAUUCGUAAUUCUAAUUCGGCUAAAAUACCUCUAGAGUCGUGUGCUACGUCAUAUGAUUUGAAUAUUACAUAAUUAGAUAAUAGUAAAUAAUUAAAAACGUUUUUGCAUUUUUUUAAAUAGGUAUGGGUACCUAUGGGUUGUCAUUCAAUAAAUCUACAAAAUAAUUUUGUUUAAUUUAUUAUUUACCGAAUCAUUAUAAGCCAACAUUAUUUCUGCAAACGCAUUUUGGCGAAGUAAGUUUCUAACCUAAACAUUACCAAAUUUUCGUUUGUUGAUGUAGCUUGGAUCUAAGUACACCGACAACUUAAACGUGGGUUUUCUUGAAACAGCAGUUUACUCUGAAUUUUCACGUUGAAGUUUAAAAGUAAGUAAAGUACCUGAGUUGUUUUUAGGAAAAACCAUUAUGUUUUGAUGAACUUUUUAUGGUCCUCUAACUAAUGUUAAAAAACUGCAGACAAUAAAAAUGAAAACAUUUGCAAAUAUGGGCGGGCAGAAUAACAAAAAAUGUUUUACGGGUUUACGUUUUAUCAACAAUGCAGCGUGAAUACAAAGAUUAAAAAAAUAUAUAUGUAAUCAAGAUUCCACGACGAACUAGAUUUGCAAAAAUCAUUUUGAAUAGAUAUUUACAUUGUUUUUAAAUAAAGACAUUAACAAAUAA